UACGUAGGGUGCAAGCGUUAAUCGGAAUUACUGGGCGUAAAGCGUGCGCAGGCGGUUCUAUAAGACAGAUGUGAAAUCCCCGGGCUCAACCUGGGAACUGCAUUUGUGACUGUAGAGCUGGAGUGCGGCAGAGGGGGAUGGAAUUCCGCGUGUAGCAGUGAAAUGCGUAGAGAUGUGGAGGAACACCGAUGGCGAAGGCAGCCUCCUGGGCUAGUACUGACGCUCAUGCACGAAAGCGUGGGGAGCAAACAGG
rnacentral:rRNA from 1 species